GUUGGGAGGAGGCAGAGGUGAUCAGGUUCUGUCCGGCCUAGGAUUUUUCGUUUGGGGGACAAGUAAGGCACAGUGACUUUGGAGAAUGAAGUAUUUAUGGCAUCCUUAUAUGGAUAAGGCCCAGUGUUGCCUAUAUUCUAUAAGGAGAACAGGAAGUCACACCCUGGGCCCUGGCCACUGGAACUGAAGACCCCAGAAAAUCCCCAUGUAGCAGCCACAGCUGUCAAGCCAGAAGUUAUGAGAUGGCUCACUGAACUUGACUCUGGAAUAAAAUGGGAACUAAUGCAGUUCUGGGUAGAGGCAGCAGGAACAAAGGGAGAAACUCUUCAAGACAUAACAGAUACCAGCCCAACAGCAGAGGAGACUAGAGAAAAGGCCUGGACAACAAGAAUGGACAUAACAUUUUAUCCAUCACAAAUUAAAAACGCCUUCUCUCAGCCCCAUUCAAUAGCAUUUGCCAAACACCAGCUCUGUGCUCCAUGCUCUGGUAGACCCCACAGGAGCUACCAUGAAGGGUCAGCUCUGGGUCCUCCCAGAAAGGUUACACCCUCUCUCAGGAGGGAGACAUCAAGUGUCUAUAGCAGAAGACAGCAAACUUUCCAUAAAAUGACAGGCGCCAAAUAUUUAAGGCUUAGUGGGCAGAGAGGCAAAAGAAAGCAAAUUUCCACAAAAUUUACUGAGAAAAAUUAAUAUGUAUAGGCACUGGAUUUAAAUAUCACGUAAUAUUCACAUGAAACAAAAUACUAGUCUCCUUUUGAGUAUUUCAACAAUUUAGAAGUGCAAUAACCAUUCUUAGCCUGCAGGCUGUAUGAAAACAGCCAGUGGGAUGAGAUUAGGCCCGUGGUUUGGGCUGUGGUUUGCCAACCCCUGAUGAAUAAGACAAAAGCAAGCACAGAAAAUGGCUGGGGAUUAGCCUGCAAAGUG